rnacentral:piRNA from 1 species
UUUAGGCUCCAGUCUCUCCGGAGGCGUGG